GCUUCCAGCCAUUCAGCUUCAGCAUCAACCAUGUUCUCUCUAUCUCUGAUGCUGCUGCUGACAGCUGGAUCCUGUGUGUACUGCAUUGAUCUGAUCCAGCAGGACUCUAAAGUUGUGCAGCCUGGACAGUCACUGACCAUCACCUGUCGGCCCUCUGGUUAUUCUGUGACUGAUAAUAACUAUGCGACAGGAUGGAUCAGACAUCGUGAAGGAAAACCAAUGGAAUGGAUUUUUGAUAUGUGGGGUGGUGGGACCUUUUACAAGAAUGAGGCCCUUGAGAACAAGUUCAGCUACAGCAAAGACUCUUCUGCUGGAACAGUAACAAUAACAGGACAGAAUCUGCAGCCUGAAGACGCAGCUGUUUAUUACUGUGUGAGUCGACGCACUGUGAUGCAAAACACAUGCAAGACUGUGCAAAAACUCAGCAGGCAGCAGUCAGACACGGCCUUCAUAAACACCCAGCUACACUGA